AUUGAACGCUGGCGGAAUGCUUUACACAUGCAAGUCGAACGGCAGCACGGGGGCAACCCUGGUGGCGAGUGGCGAACGGGUGAGUAAUAUAUCGGAACGUGCCCAGUCGUGGGGGAUAACGUAGCGAAAGUUACGCUAAUACCGCAUACGAUCUACGGAUGAAAGCGGGGGAUCGCAAGACCUCGCGCGAUUGGAGCGGCCGAUAUCAGAUUAGGUAGUUGGUGGGGUAAAGGCUCACCAAGCCAACGAUCUGUAGCUGGUCUGAGAGGACGACCAGCCACACUGGGACUGAGACACGGCCCAGACUCCUACGGGAGGCAGCAGUGGGGAAUUUUGGACAAUGGACGCAAGUCUGAUCCAGCCAUUCCGCGUGCAGGACGAAGGCCUUCGGGUUGUAAACUGCUUUUGUACGGAACGAAAAAGCCUUGGCUAAUACCCAGGGUCCAUGACGGUACCGUAAGAAUAAGCACCGGCUAACUACGUGCCAGCAGCCGCGGUAAUACGUAGGGUGCGAGCGUUAAUCGGAAUUACUGGGCGUAAAGCGUGCGCAGGCGGUUAUAUAAGACAGAUGUGAAAUCCCCGGGCUCAACCUGGGAACUGCAUUUGUGACUGUAUAGCUAGAGUGCGGCAGAGGGGGAUGGAAUUCCGCGUGUAGCAGUGAAAUGCGUAGAUAUGCGGAGGAACACCGAUGGCGAAGGCA
rnacentral:rRNA from 1 species